rnacentral:rRNA from 1 species
GACGUAGGGCGCGAGCGUUGUCCGGAAUUAUUGGGCGUAAAGAGCUCGUAGGUGGCUUGUCGCGUUGUUCGUGAAAACUCACAGCUUAACUGUGGGCGUGCGGGCGAUACGGGCAGACUGGAGUACUGCAGGGGAGACUGGAAUUCCUGGUGUAGCGGUGGAAUGCGCAGAUAUCAGGAGGAACACCGAUGGCGAAGGCAGGUCUCUGGGCCACUACUGACGCUGAGAAGCGAAAGCGUGGGGAGCGAACAGG